rnacentral:misc_RNA from 1 species
AUGCGAUAAGUAAUGUGAAUUGCAGAAUUCAGUGAAUCAUCGAAUCUUUGAACGCACAUUGCGCCCCUUGGUAUUCCGGGGGGCAUGCCUGUUCGAGCGUCAUUAUAACCCUCAAGCCUAGCUUGGUGUUGGAGCAUGCUACCUAGCAGCUCUUAAAAUCAGUGGCAGUGCCCUUCGGCUCUAAGCGUAGUAACUUCUCUCGCUAUGGAAACCGGAUGGUACGCGCCAAAACCCCCAACUUUCUAUGGUUGACCUCGGAUCAGGUAGGGAUACCCGCUGAACUUAA